rnacentral:rRNA from 1 species
CCUACGGGAGGCAGCAGUGGGGAAUUUUGCGCAAUGGGGGCAACCCUGACGCAGCAACGCCGCGUGAGUGAUGAAGGCCUUCGGGUCGUAAAGCUCUGUCAGAGGGGAAGAAAUGCAGGUGGUGAACAACCAUUCUGUUUGACGGUACCUGAAGAAGAGGCACCGGCUAACUACGUGCCAGCAGCCGCGGUAAUACGUAGGGUGCGAGCGUUAAUCGGAAUUACUGGGCGUAAAGCGUGCGCAGGCGGCUUUGUAAGACGGAUGUAAAAUCCCUGGGCUUAACCUAGGAACUGCGUUCGUGACUGCAAAGCUAGAGUGCGGCAGAGGGGGGUGGAAUUCCUGGUGUAGCAGUAAAAUGCGUAGAGAUCAGGAGGAACACCGAUGGCGAAGGCAGCCCCCUGGGUUGACACUGACGCUCAUGCACGAAAGCGGGGGGAGCAAACAGGAUUAGAUACCCCUGUAGU